CUGCAUCAUGUGAAGUAACAUUUGUUGAUCUUGACAACCCUUUUUGAAACUCCAUUCUUAGAGAACAAAGAUACUUGUUGAAAAUAAAUAAAUAAAUAUCAACAAGUGGGUGUUUUGAUGGCCAUAAUAAUGCCUGACCACCUGCCAUCGAUGGAAAGCUGAAUACCCCAAAAGGGGACCUCGUGAAACUAAAGAGAAACAAACAUACUCCUUACCCUGCAGCCCUCAUGUCUGAGGUGCCAUACGCACAGUCAAAGCUUCUUCAAGAUCAUCUGCUUAUCUUGAGUUUGUGGUGAUAUUAAUAUUGAAUGUUUAAAUGAUCUGAAUCUGCCAGUACUAGGGUAGCAUGAGACAAGAUUUCUAAGAAUAAGUAAAUGUGCCCUAGCCUAGGUUAUUAUGUCCAUACACAUAACACAUGACAAUCCCCAAGGUACUCUUGACACACCUCAUUCAUGCUUCAGGACAAAAAGGAGUACCCCUAUAAAGGGUGGUUUUACCCACACAUAUAUAUAUAUAUGUAUAUUAAUGCCAUAGGGGUGUCAAGGGGGGUACCAAAUAAUUUUAAGGUAAGACACUAAGUUUGAAUCUAUUCUCCCAAGCAUUACGGCUAAUAAAAUCUGAAUUGGAAGGGAAGAGGUUUAUACAAUAAACAGGAGACCUUUUUCUUACAGGACAUGUAUGACUCAGCUGAAUGGGUAGGUGCCACGCACAUGACUGUUAAUCCCCUCAAACCACAC